rnacentral:rRNA from 1 species
UUAAGCGACUAAGCGUACACGGUGGAUGCCCUGGCAGUCAGAGGCGAUGAAGGACGUGCUAAUCUGCGAUAAGCGUCGGUAAGGUGAUAUGAACCGUUAUAACCGGCGAUUUCCGAAUGGGGAAACCCAGUGUGUUUCGACACACUAUCAUUAACUGAAUCCAUAGGUUAAUGAGGCGAACCGGGGGAACUGAAACAUCUAAGUACCCCGAGGAAAAGAAAUCAACCGAGAUUCCCCCAGUAGCGGCGAGCGAACGGGGAGGAGCCCAGAGCCUGAAUCAGUGUGUGUGUUAGUGGAAGCGUCUGGAAAGGCGCGCGAUACAGGGUGACAGCCCCGUACACAAAAAUGCACAUGCUGUGAGCUCGAUGAGUAGGGCGGGACACGUGGUAUCCUGUCUGAAUAUGGGGGGACCAUCCUCCAAGGCUAAAUACUCCUGACUGACCGAUAGUGAACCAGUACCGUGAGGGAAAGGCGAAAAGAACCCCGGCGAGGGGAGUGAAAAAGAACCUGAAACCGUGUACGUACAAGCAGUGGGAGCACGCUUCGGCGUGUGACUGCGUACCUUUUGUAUAAUGGGUCAGCGACUUAUAUUCUGUAGCAAGGUUAACCGAAUAGGGGAGCCGAAGGGAAACCGAGUCUUAACUGGGCGUUAAGUUGCAGGGUAUAGACCCGAAACCCGGUGAUCUAGCCAUGGGCAGGUUGAAGGUUGGGUAACACUAACUGGAGGACCGAACCGACUAAUGUUGAAAAAUUAGCGGAUGACUUGUGGCUGGGGGUGAAAGGCCAAUCAAACCGGGAGAUAGCUGGUUCUCCCCGAAAGCUAUUUAGGUAGCGCCUCGUGAAUUCAUCUCCGGGGGUAGAGCACUGUUUCGGCAAGGGGGUCAUCCCGACUUACCAACCCGAUGCAAACUGCGAAUACCGGAGAAUGUUAUCACGGGAGACACACGGCGGGUGCUAACGUCCGUCGUGAAGAGGGAAACAACCCAGACCGCCAGCUAAGGUCCCAAAGUCAUGGUUAAGUGGGAAACGAUGUGGGAAGGCCCAGACAGCCAGGAUGUUGGCUUAGAAGCAGCCAUCAUUUAAAGAAAGCGUAAUAGCUCACUGGUCGAGUCGGCCUGCGCGGAAGAUGUAACGGGGCUAAACCAUGCACCGAAGCUGCGGCAGCGACNAUGCUGGAGGUAUCAGAAGUGCGAAUGCUGACAUAAGUAACGAUAAAGCGGGUGAAAAGCCCGCUCGCCGGAAGACCAAGGGUUCCUGUCCAACGUUAAUCGGGGCAGGGUGAGUCGACCCCUAAGGCGAGGCCGAAAGGCGUAGUCGAUGGGAAACAGGUUAAUAUUCCUGUACUUGGUGUUACUGCGAAGGGGGGACGGAGAAGGCUAUGUUGGCCGGGCGACGGUUGUCCCGGUUUAAGCGUGUAGGCUGGUUUUCCAGGCAAAUCCGGAAAAUCAAGGCUGAGGCGUGAUGACGAGGCACUACGGUGCUGAAGCAACAAAUGCCCUGCUUCCAGGAAAAGCCUCUAAGCAUCAGGUAACAUCAAAUCGUACCCCAAACCGACACAGGUGGUCAGGUAGAGAAUACCAAGGCGCUUGAGAGAACUCGGGUGAAGGAACUAGGCAAAAUGGUGCCGUAACUUCGGGAGAAGGCACGCUGAUAUGUAGGUGAAGNUGGAGCUGAAAUCAGUCGAAGAUACCAGCUGGCUGCAACUGUUUAUUAAAAACACAGCACUGUGCAAACACGAAAGUGGACGUAUACGGUGUGACGCCUGCCCGGUGCCGGAAGGUUAAUUGAUGGGGUUAGCGGUAACGCGAAGCUCUUGAUCGAAGCCCCGGUAAACGGCGGCCGUAACUAUAACGGUCCUAAGGUAGCGAAAUUCCUUGUCGGGUAAGUUCCGACCUGCACGAAUGGCGUAAUGAUGGCCAGGCUGUCUCCACCCGAGACUCAGUGAAAUUGAACUCGCUGUGAAGAUGCAGUGUACCCGCGGCAAGACGGAAAGACCCCGUGAACCUUUACUAUAGCUUGACACUGAACAUUGAGCCUUGAUGUGUAGGAUAGGUGGGAGGCUUUGAAGUGUGGACGCCAGUCUGCAUGGAGCCGACCUUGAAAUACCACCCUUUAAUGUUUGAUGUUCUAACGUNAUCCGGGUUGCGGACAGUGUCUGGUGGGUAGUUUGACUGGGGCGGUCUCCUCCUAAAGAGUAACGGAGGAGCACGAAGGUUGGCUAAUCCUGGUCGGACAUCAGGAGGUUAGUGCAAUGGCAUAAGCCAGCUUGACUGCGAGCGUGACGGCGCGAGCAGGUGCGAAAGCAGGUCAUAGUGAUCCGGUGGUUCUGAAUGGAAGGGCCAUCGCUCAACGGAUAAAAGGUACUCCGGGGAUAACAGGCUGAUACCGCCCAAGAGUUCAUAUCGACGGCGGUGUUUGGCACCUCGAUGUCGGCUCAUCACAUCCUGGGGCUGAAGUAGGUCCCAAGGGUAUGGCUGUUCGCCAUUUAAAGUGGUACGCGAGCUGGGUUUAGAACGUCGUGAGACAGUUCGGUCCCUAUCUGCCGUGGGCGCUGGAGAACUGAGGGGGGCUGCUCCUAGUACGAGAGGACCGGAGUGGACGCAUCACUGGUGUUCGGGUUGUCAUGCCAAUGGCACUGCCCGGUAGCUAAAUGCGGAAGAGAUAAGUGCUGAAAGCAUCUAAGCACGAAACUUGCCCCGAGAUGAGUUCUCCCUGACCCUUUAAGGGUCCUGAAGGAACGUUGAAGACGACGACGUUGAUAGGCCGGGUGUGUAAGCGCAGCGAUGCGUUGAGCUAACCGGUACUAAUGAACCGUGAGGCUUAACCUU